rnacentral:rRNA from 1 species
UACAGAGGGGGCAAGCGUUGUUCGGAAUUACUGGGCGUAAAGGGCGCGUAGGCGGCCCGCUAAGUCGAACGUGAAAUCCCUGGGCUCAACCCAGGAACUGCGUCCGAUACUGGCAGGCUUGAAUCCGGGAGAGGGAUGUGGAAUUCCAGGUGUAGAGGUGAAAUUCGUAGAUAUUGGGAAGAACACCGGUGGCGAAGGCGGCGAGCUGGCCUUGAACUGACGCUGAGGCGCGACAGCGUGGGGAGCAAACAGG